CACGUAGGCACCAAGCGUUGUCCGGAUUUGUUGGGCGUAAAGAGCUCGUAGGCGGUUCAGUAAGUCGGGUGUGAAAACUCUGGGCUUAACCCAGAGCCGCCACCCGAUACUGCUGUGACUAGAGUCCGGUAGGGGAGUGGGGAAUUACUAGUGUAGCGGUGAAAUGCGCAGAUAUUAGGAGGAACACCGGUGGCGAAGGCGCCACUCUGGGCCGGAACUGACGCUGAGGAGCGAGAGCGUGGGUAGCAAACAGG
rnacentral:rRNA from 1 species